GGUUAAGCGACUAAGCGUACACGGUGGAUGCCCUGGCAGUCAGAGGCGAUGAAGGACGUGCUAAUCUGCGAUAAGCGUCGGUAAGGUGAUAUGAACCGUUAUAACCGGCGAUUUCCGAAUGGGGAAACCCAGUGUGUUUCGACACACUAUCAUUAACUGAAUCCAUAGGUUAAUGAGGCGAACCGGGGGAACUGAAACAUCUAAGUAUCCCGAGGAAAAGAAAUCAACCGAGAUUCCCCCAGUAGCGGCGAGCGAACGGGGAGCAGCCCAGAGCCUGAAUCAGUGUGUGUGUUAGUGGAAGCGUCUGGAAAGGCGCGCGAUACAGGGUGACAGCCCCGUACACAAAAAUGCACAUGCUGUGAGCUCGAUGAGUAGGGCGGGACACGUGGUAUCCUGUCUGAAUAUGGGGGACCAUCCUCCAAGGCUAAAUACUCCUGACUGACCGAUAGUGAACCAGUACCGUGAGGGAAAGGCGAAAAGAACCCCGGCGAGGGGAGUGAAAAAGAACCUGAAACCGUGUACGUACAAGCAGUGGGAGCACAGAGCAAUCUGUGUGACUGCGUACCUUUUGUAUAAUGGGUCAGCGACUUAUAUUCUGUAGCAAGGUUAACCGAAUAGGGGAGCCGAAGGGAAACCGAGUCUUAACUGGGCGUUAAGUUGCAGGGUAUAGACCCGAAACCCGGUGAUCUAGCCAUGGGCAGGUUGAAGGUUGGGUAACACUAACUGGAGGACCGAACCGACUAAUGUUGAAAAAUUAGCGGAUGACUUGUGGCUGGGGGUGAAAGGCCAAUCAAACCGGGAGAUAGCUGGUUCUCCCCGAAAGCUAUUUAGGUAGCGCCUCGUGAAUUCAUCUCCGGGGGUAGAGCACUGUUUCGGCAAGGGGGUCAUCCCGACUUACCAACCCGAUGCAAACUGCGAAUACCGGAGAAUGUUAUCACGGGAGACACACGGCGGGUGCUAACGUCCGUCGUGAAGAGGGAAACAACCCAGACCGCCAGCUAAGGUCCCAAAGUCAUGGUUAAGUGGGAAACGAUGUGGGAAGGCCCAGACAGCCAGGAUGUUGGCUUAGAAGCAGCCAUCAUUUAAAGAAAGCGUAAUAGCUCACUGGUCGAGUCGGCCUGCGCGGAAGAUGUAACGGGGCUAAACCAUGCACCGAAGCUGCGGCAGCGACGCUUAUGCGUUGUUGGGUAGGGGAGCGUUCUGUAAGCCUGUGAAGGUGUGCUGUGAGGCAUGCUGGAGGUAUCAGAAGUGCGAAUGCUGACAUAAGUAACGAUAAAGCGGGUGAAAAGCCCGCUCGCCGGAAGACCAAGGGUUCCUGUCCAACGUUAAUCGGGGCAGGGUGAGUCGACCCCUAAGGCGAGGCCGAAAGGCGUAGUCGAUGGGAAACAGGUUAAUAUUCCUGUACUUGGUGUUACUGCGAAGGGGGACGGAGAAGGCUAUGUUGGUCGGGCGACGGUUGUCCCGGUUUAAGCGUGUAGGCUGGUUUUCCAGGCAAAUCCGGAAAAUCAAGGCUGAGGCGUGAUGACGAGGCACUACGGUGCUGAAGCAACAAAUGCCCUGCUUCCAGGAAAAGCCUCUAAGCAUCAGGUAACAUCAAAUCGUACCCCAAACCGACACAGGUGGUCAGGUAGAGAAUACCAAGGCGCUUGAGAGAACUCGGGUGAAGGAACUAGGCAAAAUGGUGCCGUAACUUCGGGAGAAGGCACGCUGAUAUGUAGGUGAAGUCCCUCGCGGAUGGAGCUGAAAUCAGUCGAAGAUACCAGCUGGCUGCAACUGUUUAUUAAAAACACAGCACUGUGCAAACACGAAAGUGGACGUAUACGGUGUGACGCCUGCCCGGUGCCGGAAGGUUAAUUGAUGGGGUUAGCGGUAACGCGAAGCUCUUGAUCGAAGCCCCGGUAAACGGCGGUACGUAACUAUAACGGUCCUAAGGUAGCGAAAUUCCUUGUCGGGUAAGUUCCGACCUGCACGAAUGGCGUAAUGAUGGCCAGGCUGUCUCCACCCGAGACUCAGUGAAAUUGAACUCGCUGUGAAGAUGCAGUGUACCCGCGGCAAGACGGAAAGACCCCGUGAACCUUUACUAUAGCUUGACACUGAACAUUGAGCCUUGAUGUGUAGGAUAGGUGGGAGGCUUUGAAGUGUGGACGCCAGUCUGCAUGGAGCCGGCCUUGAAAUACCACCCUUUAAUGUUUGAUGUUCUAACGUUGGCCCCUGAUCGGGGUUGCGGACAGUGUCUGGUGGGUAGUUUGACUGGGGCGGUCUCCUCCUAAAGAGUAACGGAGGAGCACGAAGGUUGGCUAAUCCUGGUCGGACAUCAGGAGGUUAGUGCAAUGGCAUAAGCCAGCUUGACUGCGAGCGUGACGGCGCGAGCAGGUGCGAAAGCAGGUCAUAGUGAUCCGGUGGUUCUGAAUGGAAGGGCCAUCGCUCAACGGAUAAAAGGUACUCCGGGGAUAACAGGCUGAUACCGCCCAAGAGUUCAUAUCGACGGCGGUGUUUGGCACCUCGAUGUCGGCUCAUCACAUCCUGGGGCUGAAGUAGGUCCCAAGGGUAUGGCUGUUCGCCAUUUAAAGUGGUACGCGAGCUGGGUUUAGAACGUCGUGAGACAGUUCGGUCCCUAUUUGCCGUGGGCGCUGGAGAACUGAGGGGGCUGCUCCUAGUACGAGAGGACCGGAGUGGACGCAUCACUGGUGUUCGGGUUGUCAUGCCAAUGGCACUGCCCGGUAGCUAAAUGCGGAAGAGAUAAGUGCUGAAAGCAUCUAAGCACGAAACUUGCCCCGAGAUGAGUUCUCCCUGACUCCUUGAGAGUCCUGAAGGAACGUUGAAGACGACGACGUUGAUAGGCCGGGUGUGUAAGCGCAGCGAUGCGUUGAGCUAACCGGUACUAAUGAACCGUGAGGCUUAACCUU
rnacentral:rRNA from 1 species